rnacentral:misc_RNA from 1 species
GUGCCUACUUCUCUAAGGAGGGGAUUGGGAGCUGUAUAUGAUCGAUCAUAGCUAGAGAAGGUUAAACUUAAAAGGAAAAGUAUCGGAUUGCAUUUUUUGUUGUAAAAAAAUCAUUUUCUUCUUAAAGGGAUUUUACAGUAGAGAAGGCUUAAUAUCUCCUAUUUCCUGGCAUACAAUCACAUUCAUACGCUCUCCAUAGACUCCAACAUGACAGAGGAUAUAACUAAGUCAAUCAUUAUGGACUUAGAUUGCCUAGAUCAAAGCCAUGAAAGCCUACUACAAGACAUCCGCUUAGAAGGCCUCAUCAAGCAAACAUCUCCUGUUGUGAUUCAUCGAUCUCUUAAAGUCCUUUAUCAAUUCGAUCAAGAGGAAAUUACGGAUCUUGACAAAUUAGUUAGUUCCGAACCAAAGGAGGAGGAGGAAGGAGCAAUCAAGGAGGAGGGGAAUGUUUCACAUUCAAGAAAUCGAACACUACCUCCUCGUCGUAAAAAAAUCAAAUUCAACUGCGGAUAAGAAGGACUCUUCUCUCGAACAGGAUGAUCACCCAGAUACGGACAUAGCCUUAGAUAAAUUUAUCAAUGAAGGUACAGUUGGAAAUGAUGAGGAUCCAACCGUUCGAGAGAUCCUUGAAAUGACGAAUGAACUCAGUAAUUCCCUUAUGGAGAAUUCCGAUAUCCUUCCUAGUCUUGGCCAUUCAACGUCCUUUUGCAGUGGGGAAAUGGAACAUCAACAAGACCGGUCUCAACAACAACAUCAAAAAUUUCCUUUCAUGGCCAAAAACUUGUUCCUUCGAAUCCAUCAAAACUUCAAUAUGCGAUUUUUUGUGUUCCUUGUUAUAGAGUCAAAAUGAGUCCAAAAACACAGGACAUCAUCCGAGAAUGGAAUCCACAAACUCCGUCUCAGAUAGUCAGAUAAACGGUUAUAUUUUCUGUCAAAAUUGUACAAAAAAACCAAAUUUUUGUUGUUCUGUAUGUCGGAAGACGCAUUAUUGUAGUCCAGAGUGUCAACGAUAUGAUUGGAAUCACCACUCUAAAAUUUGUGUGAAAAAUGAAUAAUGAAAAGUAUGAGGAAAUGAUAUUGUGGAAGCAAUUAUUUGUAUACCUAUUCAACAGUCCAAAAAGUGUUUUAAAUACCAGCAGUGACAUUAUUAUUUAUCUAAAUGAAAUUAGAUACAUCACAUAUUAUGUACAUUUAUAGACCGUUAUUAUCAUUCUUCAUUGUAUUAAAGGAUCAAAAAUUGUUUUUUA